rnacentral:rRNA from 1 species
CUGGAGGUAUCAGAAGUGCGAAUGCUGACAUAAGUAACGAUAAAGCGGGUGAAAAGCCCGCUCGCCGGAAGACCAAGGGUUCCUGUCCAACGUUAAUCGGGGCAGGGUGAGUCGACCCCUAAGGCGAGGCCGAAAGGCGUAGUCGAUGGGAAACGGGUUAAUAUUCCCGUACUUGGUGUUACUGCGAAGGGGGGACGGAGAAGGCUAUGUUGGCCGGGCGACGGUUGUCCCGGUUUAAGCGUGUAGGUGUGUGUUCCAGGUAAAUCCGGUUCACUUUAACACUGAGGCGUGAUGACGAGGCACUACGGUGCUGAAGUAACAAAUGCCCUGCUUCCAGGAAAAGCCUCUAAGCAUCAGGUAACAUCAAAUCGUACCCCAAACCGACACAGGUGGUCAGGUAGAGAAUACCAAGGCGCUUGAGAGAACUCGGGUGAAGGAACUAGGCAAAAUGGUGCCGUAACUUCGGGAGAAGGCACGCUGACACGUAGGUGAAGUGAUUUACUCA